GAUGAAGAACGCAGCGAAAUGCGAUAAGUAAUGUGAAUUGCAGAAUUCAGUGAAUCAUCGAAUCUUUGAACGCACCUUGCGCCCCUUGGUAUUCCGAGGGGCAUGCCUGUUUGAGUGUCAUUAAAUUCUCAAACUCACUUUGGUUUCUUUCCAAUUGUGAUGUUUGGAUUGUUGGGGGCUGCUGGCCUUGACAGGUCGGCUCCUCUUAAAUGCAUUAGCAGGACUUCUCAUUGCCUCUGCGCAUGAUGUGAUAAUUAUCACUCAUCAAUAGCACGCAUGAAUAGAGUCCAGCUCUCUAAUCGUCCGCAAGGACAAUUUGACAAUUUGACCUCAAAUCAGGUAGGACUACCCGCUGAACUUAAGCAUAUCAAUAAGCGGAGGA
rnacentral:misc_RNA from 1 species